CGGAGGGUGCAAGCGUUAUCCGGAUUCACUGGGUUUAAAGGGUGCGUAGGCGGGCAGGUAAGUCCGUGGUGAAAUCUCUGAGCUUAACUCAGAAACUACCAUGGAUACUAUUUGUCUUGAAUAUUGUGGAGGUAAGCGGAAUAUGUCAUGUAGCGGUGAAAUGCUUAGAUAUGACAUAGAACACCAAUUGCGAAGGCAGCUUACUACACAGUUAUUGACGCUGAGGCACGAAAGCGUGGGGAUCAAACAGGAUUAGAUACCCUGGUAGUCCACGCCCUAAACGAUGAUUACUCGACAUCAGCGAUACACUGUUGGUGUCUGAGCGAAAGCAUUAAGUAAUCCACCUGGGAAGUACGAUCGCAAGAUUG
rnacentral:rRNA from 1 species